UAGAAUUGACGGGGCCGCACAAGCGGUGAGCAUGUGGUUAAUUCGAAGCAACGCGAAGAACCUUACCAGGUCUUGACAUCCCGAUGCUAUUUCUAGAGAUAGAAAGUUACUUCGGUACAUCGGUGACAGGUGGUGCAUGGUUGUCGUCAGCUCGUGUCGUGAGAUGUUGGGUUAAGUCCCGCAACGAGCGCAACCCCUAUUGUUAGUUGCCAUCAUUCAGUUGGGCACUCUAGCGAGACUGCCGGUAAUAAACCGGAGGAAGUGGGGAUGACGUCAAAUCAUCAUGCCCCUUAUGACCUGGGCUACACACGUGCUACAAUGGUUGGUACAACGAGUUGCGAGUCGGUGACGGCGAGCUAAUCUCUUAAAGCCAAUCUCAGUUCGGAUUGUAGGCUGCAACUCGCCUACAUGAAGUCGGAAUCGCUAGUAAUCGCGGAUCAGCACGCCGCGGUCGAAUACGUUCCGGGCCUU
rnacentral:rRNA from 1 species